rnacentral:lncRNA from 1 species
GCCGGAACUAUCGAAGAUGUUAGGGUGCAACGAGACAAAGGUUUUGGGUUUGUGAGGUACAGUACCCAUGCUGAAGCAGCUCUUGCUAUACAGAUGGGUAAUGCUCGAAUUCUCUUUGGCAAACCUGUAAAGGUAUGUUGCUAAUUAGCAGGAUAUUUGUAUGUUGAAUUCUAGUAUGUUAGCUGUGUAUUAUUAAUGGCUUUUCGUACGGCAAAUAUUCUUCGAUGGGGGUUCCAAUGGAAAAAAGUAGUGUCUGCAUAAUUGAACUCGUAUUUGAUGUCAUCUGUGAUUCUUUUUUUUUUUUUUUAAUUAUCUAAAAGGCCUACAACUUAUUUAUAUUUCUCAGAAGUCAGAACAGAAUCCCUUGUUCCCUAAGAUUCUCAACCAUAUAUAAUUUGAUCUUCGAACUCAUAUGAGAAGGCUCUGGAAAUGUAUCUACUCAUGUCAAUUGAUAUUUUACAGUGUUCAUGGGGUAGCAAACCUACUCCUCCAGGAACUGCCUCUACUCCUCUUCCGCCUCCUACUUCUGCAAAUGUGCCUGGUUUUUCUCUUGCUAGUCUUGCAGCAUAUGAACGCCAAAUGGCUUUGAGUAAAAUGGGUGGUGCA